rnacentral:snRNA from 1 species
UGGUGUUGCUUUUGCAGCUGCUAUUGGCCAUUGAUGAUCGUUCUUCUCUUCCUUUGGAAGAGUAAGAGGGAGGGAACACCAUCUGAGUGGU